UGCAAGUCGAACGGAUUGAAGGGGCUUGCUCCUUCAGUUAGUGGCGCACGGGUGAGUAACGCGUAGAUAAUCUGCCUGAUGAUCCGGGAUAACAGUUCGAAAGGACUGCUAAUACCGGAUAAGCCCACGUGGUCUUUGGACCGUGCGGGAAAAGGGGGGGACCUUCGGGCCUUCUGUCAUCAGAUGAGUCUGCGUACCAUUAGCUAGUUGGUAGGGUAAAGGCCUACCAAGGCUACGAUGGUUAGCUGGUUUGAGAGAAUGAUCAGCCACACUGGAACUGAGACACGGUCCAGACUCCUACGGGAGGCAGCAGUGGGGAAUUUUGCGCAAUGGGCGAAAGCCUGACGCAGCAACGCCGCGUGAGUGAUGAAGGCUUUCGGGUCGUAAAGCUCUGUCGAGGGGAAAGAAGUGUACGGGGGCUAAUAUCCCCUGUACUUGACGGUACCCCUAAAGGAAGCACCGGCUAACUCCGUGCCAGCAGCCGCGGUAAUACGGGGGGUGCAAGCGUUGUUCGGAAUUAUUGGGCGUAAAGAGCGUGUAGGCGGUUUGUUAAGUCUGAUGUGAAAGCCCUGGGCU
rnacentral:rRNA from 1 species